UACAGAGGCCUCGAGCGUUAGGCGGAAUCACUGGGCUUAAAGCGUGUGUAGGCGGAUUGCUAAGUACCUUGUGAAAUCCCACGGCUUAACCGUGGAACUGCUGGGUAUACUGGCUGUCUUGAGCCACUUAGGGGCGACCGGAACAAACGGUGGAGCGGUGAAAUGCGUAGAUAUCGUUUGGAACGCCAAUGGUGAAAACAGGUCGCUGGGAGUGUGCUGACGCUGAGACACGAAAGCCAGGGGAGCAAACGGG
rnacentral:rRNA from 1 species